GGGUGGGGCUUACUGUGGGCAGAGCUCGGUUGGAAGGCCCAGGGAAUACUGUACACAUAAGCCACACGUGUUGGACUGUAGAAUAGGGGAUGGGAUGGGGAGAUGAGGAGAGAAUCUUUAGCCGUGCAUGUACAGGAGAUCCGAAAGACUUCUAAACAUGGGUGUGGCUGUAAUUCUACAAGGUCUGUACCCUUCAAAGAUUCAUGGACCAGAAUCUUGGUCCUCAAUAUGGGAGUAUAAAAGAUGGAAGAACUUUUGAGAGGUGGAGUAUAAUGGAAGUUGAGACCUUCAUCUGGCAAGGAGAAAUUUGGGCUGCUUUAUCUUCAAUAUAUUUUUUGAUCAUUCCUCCAAGUAAAGAAUCUCCUAUUGCUACUACUGCCACCUCUCAAUCAGCUGCAAAUGCCCUUCCUGAACCUGCGUGAUCUCUGCCCAUGCAGCUUCUCCCACUGAGCCUGGCUGCACUGCACUGAGAACCAUCUUUGUCUUCCUCAACCUCCAAACCCUCACACUGGACCCCUUUUGCUUCUUAUGUUAGUAGAUUUCUAGGAAGAGGUUUGUUAGUUUGAGUCCUGGGGACUGAACCCAGACCUUCACACUGAGCUAUAACCCCAGUCCUUUUAAAAAUUUUUUUUGAGACAGGGUCUUGCUAAGUUGCUCAAAUAGAACUCAGACUUAGGAUCCUGCCUCAGCCUCAAGAGAGCUGGUUUACAGGUAUGUGCCACCAAGCUAGCUCCUGAUAGCUUGCUUCCUUAAAAUAAAUUCUUUUCACUUUUUUUUUUUUUUUUUUUUGUCUUUUUGAGACAGGGUCUCUCUAUGCAGUUCAGGCUGACUUUGAGCUUACUUUGUAGCCCAGGCUGGAAAUGAUCCUCCUGCCUCGGCCUCCUGAGUGCUGGGAUUACAGGUGUGAGCCAUCAAGCCUGGUUUACUCUUUUCACUUUUUUUUUUUUGUCUUUUUUGUUUUUACCGGUACCAGGGGUCGAACUCACGACUGCCUGCUUGCAAGGCAGGCGCUUAUGCUGCUGAGCUAAAUCCCCAGCCCCUCUUUUCACUUUUGAGACAGGGUUUCGCUGUAUAGCCCAGACUGGCCUCAAGCUCAUAGCAGUUCUCUUUGCUUAACCUUUCAAGUGCUGGAAUUGCAAAUGUGUGCUACUAUGACCAGCUUGGAUAGUUUUUAAGUGACUUAUUUAGGAAAGAAUGAAGAAAAGGAGAAAGGGAGGAAAGGAGAGAAAAAGGGAAGGAUUAGGGAACUACAAAGUAGUUGUCUCCAAACAACAAAACAGGAAUGUUGGGUGUGAUGGCACACUCCUGUAUUUUCAGCACUCGGAAGGCUGAGACAAGAGGAUCACAAGAGUAUUGCUGUGAAAUUAAGGUCAGCCUGAAAUACAUAGGGAGCCUACAGUCCAAAAAGCCAAAAACAAAAAGUCACCAAAACAAAAACAAAAAACCCACAAAACCAAAACAAAAACCAGCCAACAAAACAAAAACCCCUCAAUAACAACAAGAAGUCAGGAUUUUUAAAAAAUAUUUAUUUUUUUGCAGUACUGAGGAUUGAACCCAGGGCCUCUUGUAUGCUAGACAAGUGUUCUACCAGCAGGCUACCUCAAGCCCUUUAUAUUUUAUUUAUUUAUUUAAAGACAGGGUCUAUGUAGUGCAGGCUAUCCUUGAAAUUGCUUAUGUAGCCCAGGCUGGCUUUACACUUACAGAAGUUCUCCUGCCUCUGUCUUGCUAGGAUUAUAGACAUGUGCCAUCAUGCCUGCCCACUUUUAAGUUUUUAAAAUUUCAAGACAGGUCUUGUUCAGUUCCCCAACCUGGUCUUGACUUGUGAUCCUCCUGCUUCAGCUGCCUGCAUGAGCUACAGUCUUAAUUCUUUCAUAUUUUUUAAGUUUUGUUGCAAAGUCUUGCUAAAUUGCCCUGACUGGGUUUGAAUUUACAAUCUUGACUCAGCUUCUCAGAGUGCUGGGAUUACAGGCCUGCACUACCACAUCUGACUCAUACAAAAUUUUUUAGGCCACCUCUUUGAAUGAGAUUCAUCACAUGAGGUCAGGUGUGUAUUUUCCACUGUGGCAUCAUGCUGGUGCUCAACAAAUUUUGGAUUUUUGGGUAUUUCAGAUUAGGGGAGCUCAACCUAUACUUAUGAUAGAGGAAGUGAUAUAAUGAACAUAUGUACAACCACACAGAAGGUACAAACAAACUUUAGAGGGAUUGACAGACUUUUUUAUUUUUGGCAACAUGGAAUAUUAAACCAAGGGCCUCAUACUUUCCAGGCAAGUGUUCUAUCACUGAGCUACACUCUCAGUCCUUUUUAUUUUAUUUUUUUAAUGUGGAGAUAAAGUCUUGAUAAGUUACCCAGACUGGUCUAGAAUUUGCAAUUUUGACUCAGCCUCUUGAAUAGCUGCGAUUAUAAGCAUGUUCCAUCAUACCUGGCUAAAAUUAGGCUUUUUGUUUGUUUUUUUGAGAUAGGGUUUCAAUAUGUAAUUCAGGCUGACUUUGAACUUCUCAUCUUCUUGCCUUAGCCUAAUAAAGUCUGAUUGAACUGUUUUAAUGAGUAAAUAUGAGAUUUGGAGUGGAAAAGAUUAAGAUUCUUUUAUUUUUUUUCCUUUUCUCUUUUGGUCUCCGGACUCAAAUUCAUGGUCUCAUGCUUGCUAGGCAGAUGCUGUACCACUGAGCUACCUCCCAGCCCACCUUUUUUUUUUUUUAUUACUGUGGAUCAAAUUCAGGACCUUGCACAUGCUAAGCAGGUAUUCUACCAUUGAGCUAUACUCCCAAACCCAGCAUUAUGCAUUUUGAUGAAAAAACUUUUUUUUUUUGGUCUUUUUCCUUUUUAUCGGUACCAGGGAUCAAACUCACGACUGCCUGCUUGCAAGGCAGGCGCUUAUGCCGCUGAGCUAAAUCUCCAGCCCCGAUGAAAAAACAUUUAAUAUCCUUAAUCCCUUUGCUAAAUAUUUACUAAGAAUCUAUAUUAUGCCAGAUACUAUGCUGUAUGCUAGGAAGGUAUGAGCUUCCCCCUACUUUUUUUUUUUUUUUUGGUGAGUCAAGAGCUUUACUAUAUAAUCCAUGGUAGUCUUGAAUUUAUAAUUCUCCUGCCUUAAUCUCCCAAGUGCUAACAUUAAAAGUGCAUACUAUCAGCCUGGCUAAUGGUUGGGCUAUCACAAGUGGGAGCACUAAGUAGAAGAAUGCAAUAAAGUGUUCUGAGUUUG